UACGUAGGGUGCGAGCGUUAAUCGGAAUUACUGGGCGUAAAGCGUGCGCAGGCGGUUAUGUAAGACAGAUGUGAAAAUCCCCCGGGCUCAACCUGGGAGCUGCAUUUGUGACUGCAUGGCUAGAGUACGGUAGAGGGGGAUGGAAUUCCGCGUGUAGCAGUGAAAUGCGUAGAUAUGCGGAGGAACACCGAUGGCGAAGGCAAUCCCCUGGACCUGUACUGACGCUCAUGCACGAAAGCGUGGGGAGCAAACAGG
rnacentral:rRNA from 1 species